rnacentral:rRNA from 1 species
UACGUAGGGAGCAAGCGUUGUCCGGAAUCAUUGGGCGUAAAGCGCGCGUAGGCGGCCCCAUAAGUCCGCUGUGAAAGUCAAAGGCUCAACCUUUGAAAGCCGGUGGAUACUGUGGGGCUAGAGUCCGGAAGAGGAGAGUGGAAUUCCCGGUGUAGCGGUGAAAUGCGCAGAUAUCAGGAGGAACACCGGUGGCGAAGGCGGAUCUCUGGGCCAUUACUGACGCUGAGGAGCGAAAGCGUGGGGAGCGAACAGG